CUCUCAAAUUCGUUCUUCACGAGUCUUUCUGAGCACAAUUUUCCCUCUCUCUGGGAAAACCCCCUUUAAUGAUGACAUUGAAGCCACUAAGAAAUCAUCAUUUACAUCGUAUGCUUUUCAAUCAGGCAACCGGAACAGAUUGCAGAGAAUAUAAGAGAGGAUGCACCAAAACACUAGUCACCCUUCAUCAACAGGGUGAACAAAUUACUAGGAGUCACCGUGUUGCUGUUGACAUUGACCACGAUUUAAGUCGGGGGAAAAGCUCCUGGGAAGCCUUGGUGGCCUCCAAAACUUGGAAACGAAAGAAGGCACUAGCAAUAACAGGCCCAGUUACUGUUGGAGUUCCAACCUCCCUGUAUUUGAAGUCCCGUUGUUGUAGCCUUCUUCAUGUUGUUGUACUAUCUGCAAGCCAGGAGCUUUAUAUUGAAUUGAUGGGUAACAAAGAUUGCUUUUGAGCAUAAUAUCACGAUUUGUGAGACUCAUUUAAUGUGAAAUUUAUGGAUUAGAAUGUGCGCUUUAUAUUGAAUUUAUGGAUAACAAAUAUUGCUUUUGAGCAUAGUAUGCCAGUUUGUGAGACUCAUUUCUUGUGGGAUUGAUGGAUUCAAUGUGGGCUUUAUAUUAAAAUUUUUCAUCUCAUAAAACGAUUCAAAGUGUUAAAUCAGAUAUACUCAUCCACUAUCUUGACUAUAAUUAAAUAAUUCAAAUUCUGUUGCCUAAUUCACAUUGUGAAUAUACUCAUGUUACGCAACCAAUAUUCCACUUGAAAUCUCUCACUAUCAUUUUGCCUUAAGAAAUAGCCACACACAGAAUAAAGCAUUCAUCUUGUAUUAUAAUCAACAACUUACAUAUAAGCUUCGUAUGGAAUUGAUGGAUUACAAUGUUGGCUUUAUAUUGAAUUUAUGAAAAACAAAGGUUGCUUUUGAGCAUAGUAUAACAAUUUCUAUAGCUCAUUUCAUGCGGAAUUGAUGAAUUAAAAUGUGGGCUUUAUAUUGAAUUUACGGAUAAUAUAGAUUGCUUUUGAGCAUAAUAUAACGGUUUGUGCGCUCAUUUUGUGUGGAAUUGAUGAAUUAAAAUGUGGGCUUUAUAUUGAAUUUAUGGAUACCAAGGAUUGCUUUUGAGCAUGAUAUGACGACUUGUGAGACUUAUUUUGUGUCGAAUUGAUGGAUUAGAAAGUGGGCUCUAUAUUGAAUUUAUGGAUAACAAAUAUUGCCUUUGAGCAUAGUAUGCCGGUUUGUGGGACUCAUUUCUUGUGGGAUUUAUGGAUUACAAUGUGGGUUUUAUACUAACAAUUUUCAUCUCAUAAAACGAUUCAAAGUGUUAAAUCAGAUAUACUCAUCUACUACCUUGACUAUGAUUAAAUAAUUCAAAUUCUGUUACCUAAUUCACAUUGUGGAUAUACUCAUGUUACACAACCAAUAUUCCACUUGUAAUCUCUCACUAUCAUUUUGCCUUAAGAAAGAGCCACCCAUAGAAUAAAGCAUUCAUCUUGUAUUAUAAGCAACAACUUACAUAUAAGCUUCAUAUGGAAUUGAUGGAUUACAAUGUCGGUUUUAUAUUGAAUUUAUGAAAAACAAAGAUUGCUUUUGAGCAUAGUAUGACAAUUUCUAUAGCUCAUUUCGUGUGGAAUUGAUGGAUUAAAAUGUGGGCUUUAUAUAAAAUUUACGGAUAAUAAAUAUUGCUUUUGAGCAAAAUAUGACGGUUUGUGAGCUCAUUUCGUGUGGAAUUGAUGGAUUAAAAUAUGAGCUUUAUAUUGAUUUUACGGAUAAUAAAUAUUGCUUUUGAGUAUAAUAUGACGGUUUGUGAGCUCAUUACGUGUGGAAUUGAUAAAUUAAAAUGUGUGCUUUAUAUUGAAUUUAUGGAUAACAAAUAUUGUUGUUGAGCAUAGUAUGCCGGUUUGUGAGACUCAUUUCUUGUGGGAUUGAUGGAUUAUAAUGUGGGCUUUAUAUUAAAAAUUUUCAUCUAAUAAAACGAUUCAAAGUGCUAAAUCAGAUAUACUCAUCCACUAUCUUGACUAUGAUUAAAUAAUUCAAAUUCUGUUAACUAAUUCACAUUGUGGAUAUACUCAUGUUACCCAACCAAUAUUCCACUUGUAAUCUCUCACUAUCAUUUUGCCUUAAGAAAGAGCCACCCAUAGAAUAAAGCAUUCAUCUUGUAUUAUAAGCAACAACUUACAUAUAAGCUUCGUAUGGAAUUGAUGGAUUACAAUGUCGGCUUUAUAUUGAAUUUAUGAAAAACAAAGAUUGCUUUUGAGCAUAGUAUGACAAUUUCUAUAGCUCAUUUCGUGUGGAAUUGAUGGAUUAAAAUGUGGGCUUUAUAUAAAAUUUACGGAUAAUAAAUAUUGCUUUUUGAGCAAAAUAUGACGGUUUGUGAGCUCAUUACGUGUGGAAUUGAUGGAUUAAAAUAUGAGCUUUAUAUUGAAUUUACGGAUAAUAAAUAUUGCUUUUGAGUAUAAUAUGACGGUUUGUGAGCUCAUUACGUGUGGAAUUGAUGAAUUAAAAUGUGUGCUUUAUAUUUGAAUUUAUGGAUAACAAAGAUUGCUUUUGAGCAUGGUAUGACGAUUUGUGAGACUCAUUUUGUGUGGAAUUGAUGGAUUAGAAUGUGGGCUUUAUAUUGAAUUUAUGGAUAACAAAUAUUGCUUUUGAGCAUAGUAUGCCGGUUUGUGAGACUCAUUUCUUGUGGGAUUGAUGGAUUACAAUGUGAGCUUUAUAUUAAAAUUUUUCAUCUCAUAAAACGAUUCAAAGUGUAAAAUCAGAUAUACUCAUCCACUAUCUUGACUAUGAUUAAAUAAUUCAAAUUCUGUUGCCUAAUUCUCAAUGUGGAUAUACUCAUGUUACACAACAAAUAUUCAACUUGAAAUCUCUCACUAUCAUUUUGCCUAAAGAAAUAGCCACAUAGAGAAUAAAGCAUUCAUCUUGUAUUAUAAGCAACAACUUACAUAUAAGCUUCGUAUGGAAUUGAUGAAUUACAAUGUGAGCUUUAUAUUGAAUUUAUGAAAAACAAAGAUGGCUUUUGAGCAUGGUAUGAUAAUUUCUUUAGCUCAUUUCGUGUGGAAUUGAUGGAUUAAAAUGUCGGUUUUAUAUUGAAUUUAUGGAUAACAAAGAUUGCUUUUGAGCAUGGUAUGACGAUUUGUGAGGCUAAUUUCGUUUGGAAUUGAUGGAUUACAAUGUGGGUAUUAUAUUGAAUUUAUGAAUAACAAAUAUUGCUUUUGAGCAUAAUAUGACAGUUUGUGAGACUUAUUUUGUGUGAAAUUGAUGGAUUAGAAUCUGGACUUUAUAUGGAAUUUAUGGAUAACAAAUAUUUCUUUGUAGCAUAGUAUGCCGGUUUGUGAGACUCAUUUCUUGUGGGAUUGAUGGAUUAUAAUGUGGGCUUUAUAUUAAAAAUUUUCAUCUAAUAAAACGAUUCAAAGUGCUAAAUCAGUUAUACUCAUCCACUAUCUUGACUAUGAUUAAAUAAUUCAAAUUUUGUUACCUAAUUCACAUUGUGGAUAUACUCAUGUUAUAUAACCAAUAUUCCACUUGUAAUCUCUCACUAUCAUUUUGCCUUAAGAAAUAGCCACACACAGAAUAAAGCAUUCAUCUUGUAUUUCAAGCAACAACUUACAUAUAAGCUUCGUAUGGAAUUGAUGGAUUACAGUGUCGGCUUUAUAUUGAAUUUAUGAAAAACAAAGAUUGCUUUUGAGCAUAGUAUGAUAAUUUUUAUAGCUCAUUUCGUGUGGAAUUGAUGGACUAAAAUGUGGGUUUUAUAUUGAAUUUAUGAAUAAUAAAUAUUGCUUUUGAGCAUAAUAUGACGGUUUGUGAGCUCAUUACGUGUGGAAUUGAUGAAUUAAAGUGUGGGUUUUAUAUUGAAUUUAUGGAUAACAAAGAUUGCUUUUGAGCAUGAUAUGACAAUUUGUGAGGCUCAUUUCGUUUGGAAUUGAUGAAAUACAAUGUGGGUUUUAUAUUGAAUUUAUGAAUAACAAAUAUUGCUUUUGAGCAUAAUAUGACAGUUGUUGAGACUCAUUUUGUGUGAAAUUGAUGGAUUAGAAUGUGGGCUUUAUAUUGAAUUUAUGGAUAACAAAUAUUGUUGUUGAGCAUAGUAUGCCGGUUUGUGAGACUCAUUUCUUGUGGGAUUGAUGGAUUAUAAUGUGGGCUUUAUAUUAAAAAUUUUCAUCUAAUAAAACGAUUCAAAGUGCUAAAUCAGAUAUACUCAUCCACUAUCUUGACUAUGAUUAAAUAAUUCAAAUUCUGUUAACUAAUUCACAUUGUGGAUAUACUCAUGUUACACAACCAAUAUUCCACUUGUAAUCUCUCACUAUCAUUUUGCCUUAAGAAAUAGCCACACACAGAAUAAAGCAUUCAUCUUGUAUUAUAAGCAACAACUUACAUAUAAGCUUCGUAUGGAAUUGAUGGAUUACAAUGUCGGCUUUAUAUUGAAUUUAUGAAAAACAAAGAUUGCUUUUGAGCAUAGUAUGAUAAUUUUUUUAUCUCAUUUCGUGUGGAAUUGAUGGAUUAAAAUGUGAGUUUUAUAUUGAAUUUACGGAUAAUAAAUAUUGCUUUUGAGCAUAAUAUGACGGUUUGUGAGCUCAUUACGUGUGGAAUUGAUGAAUUAAAAUGUGGGUUUUAUAUUGAAUUUAUGGAUAACAAAGAUUGCUUUUGAGCAUGAUAUGACGAUUUGUGAGGCUCACUUCGUUUGGAAUUGAUGAAAUAAAAUAUGGGUUUUAUAUUGAAUUUAUGAAUAACAAAUAUUGCUUUUGAGCAUAAUAUGACAGUUUACAAGACUCAUUUUUUGUGAAAUUGAUGGAUUAGAAAGUGGGCUUUAUAUUGAAUUUAUGGAUAACAAAUAUUGCUUUUGAGCAUAGUAUGCCGGUUUGUGAGACUCAUUUCUAGUGGGAUUGAUGGAUUACAAUGUGGGCUUUAUAUUAAAAAUUUUCUUCUCAUAAAACGAUUCAAAGUGUUAAAUCAUAUAUACUCAUCCACUAUCUUGAGUAUGAUUAAAUAAUUCAAAUUAUGUUGCUAAAUUCUCAAUGUAGAUAUACUCAUGUUACCCCACCAAUAUUCCACUUGUAAUCUCUCACUAUCAUUUUGCCUUAAGAAAUAGUCACAUACAGAAUAAAGCAUUCAUCUUGUAUUAUAAGCAACAACUUACAUAUAAGCUUCGUAUGGAAUUGAUGAAUUACUAUGUGGGCUUUAUAUUGAAUUUAUGAAAAACAAAGAUUGCUUUUGAGCAUAGUAUGAUAAUUUUUAUAGCUCAUUUUGCGUGGAAUUGAUAGAUUAAAAUGUGGGCUUUAUAUUAAAUUUACGGAUAAUAUAGAUUGCUUUUGAGCAUAAUAUGGCGGUUUGUGAGCUCAUUACGUGUGGAAUUGAUGAAUUAAAAUGUGGUUUUUAUAUUGAAUUUAUGGAUAACAAAGAUUGUUUUUGAGCAUGGUAUGACGAUUUGUGAGACUCAUUUCAUUUGGAAUUGAUGAAAUACAAUGUGGGUUUUAUAUUGAAUUUAUGAAUAACAAAUAUAUCUUUUGAGCAUAAUAUGACAGUUUACGAGACUCAUUUUGUGUGGAAUUGAAGGAUUAGAAAGUGGGCUUUAUAUUGAAUUUAUGGAUAACAAAUAUUGCUUUUGAGCAUAGUAUGUCGGUUUGUGAGACUCAUUUCUAGUGGGAUUGAUGGAUUACAAUGUGGGCUUUAUAUUAAAAAUUUUCUUCUCAUAAAACGAUUCAAAGUGUUAAAUCAUAUAUACUCAUCCACUAUCUUGAGUAUGAUUAAAUAAUUCAAAUUAUGUUGCUAAAUUCUCAAUGUAGAUAUACUCAUGUUACCCCACCAAUAUUCCACUUGUAAUCUCUCACUAUCAUUUUGCCUUAAGAAAUAGUCACAUACAGAAUAAAGCAUUCAUCUUGUAUUAUAAGCAACAACUUACAUAUAAGCUUCGUAUGGAAUUGAUGAAUUACUAUGUGGGCUUUAUAUUGAAUUUAUGAAAAACAAAGAUUGGUUUUGAGCAUAGUAUGAUAAUUUUUAUAGCUCAUUUUGCGUGGAAUUGAUAGAUUAAAAUGUGGGCUUUAUAUUAAAUUUACGGAUAAUAUAGAUUGCUUUUGAGCAUAAUAUGGCGGUUUGUGAGCUCAUUACGUGUGGAAUUGAUGAAUUAAAAUGUGGUUUUUAUAUUGAAUUUAUGGAUAACAAAGAUUGUUUUUGAGCAUGGUAUGACGAUUUGUGAGGCUCAUUUCAUUUGGAAUUGAUGAAAUACAAUGUGGGUUUUAUAUUGAAUUUAUGAAUAACAAAUAUAUCUUUUGAGCAUAAUAUGACAGUUUACGAGACUCAUUUUGUGUGGAAUUGAAGGAUUAGAAUGUGGGCUUUAUAUUGAAUUUAUGGAUAACAAAUAUUGCUUUUGAGCAUAGUAUGUCGGUUUGUGAGACUCUUUUCUUGUGUGAUUGGUGGAUUACAAUGUGGGCUUUAUAUUAAAAAUUUUCAUCUCAUAAAACAAUUCAAUGUUUUAAAUCAAAUAUACUCAUCCACUAUCUUGAGUGUGAUUAUAUAAUUCAGUUUAUGUUGCCUAAUUCUCAAUGUGGAUAUACUCAUGUUACACAACCAAUAUUCAACUUGUAAUCUCUUACUAUCCUUUUGCCUUAAGAAAUAGCCAUACACAGAAUAAAGCAUUCAUCUUGUAUUAUAAGCAACAACUUACAUAUAAGCUUCGUAUGGAAUUGAUGAAUUACAAUGUGGCUUUAUAUUGAAUUUAUGAAAAACAAAGAUUGCUUUUGAGCAUAGUAUGAUAAUUUCUAUAGCUCAUUUCGUGUGGAUUUGAUGGAUUAAAAUGUGGGUUUUAUAUUAAAUUUAUGGAUAAUAUAGAUUGCUUUUGAGCAUAAUAUGACCGUUUGUGAGCUCAUUUCGUGUGGAAUUGAUGAAUUAAAAUGUGGGCUUUAUAUUGAAUUUAUGGAUAACAAAAACUAAUUUUGAUCAUAGUAUGAAGAUUUAGAGGCUCAUUUCGUUUGGAAUUGAUGGACUACAAUGUGGGUUUUAUAUUGAAUUUAUGAAUAACAAAUAUUGUUUUUGAGCAUAAUAUGACAGUUUGUAAGACUCAUUUUGUGUGGAAUUGAUGGAUUAGAAUGUGGGCUUUAUAUUGAAUUUAUGGAUAACAAAUAUUGCUUUUGAGCAUAGUGUGCCGGUUUGUGAGACUCAUUUCUUGUGGAAUUGAUGGAUUACAAUGUGGGUUUUAUAUUGAAUUUAUGAAAAACAAAGAUUACUUUUGAGCAUAGUAUGACAAUUUCUAAGGCUCAUUUUAUGUGGAAUUGAUGGAUUAAAAUGUGGGUUUUAUAUUGAAUUUAUGGAUAAUAAAGAUCGCUUUUGAGUGUAAUAUGACGGUUUGUGAGCUCAUUUCGUGUGGAAAUGAUGAAUUAAAAUGUGGGCUUUAUAUUGAAUUUAUGGAUAACAAAGAUUGAUUUUGAGCAUAAUAUGACGAUUUGUGAUGCUCAUUUCAUUUGGAAUUCAUUGAUUACAAUGUGGCUUUUAUAUUGAAUUUAUGAAUAGCAAGUAUUGCUUUUGAGCAUAAUAUGACAGUUUGUGAGACUCAUUUUGAGUGGAAUUGAUGGAUUAGAAUGUGGGCUUUAUAUUGAAUUUAUGGAUAACAAAUAUUGCUUUUAUGCAUAGUGUGCCGGUUUGUGAGAUUCAUUUCUUGUUGGAUUGAUGGAUUACAAUGUGGGCUUUAUAUUAAAAAAUUUCAUGUCAUAAAACGAUUCAAAGUUUUAAAUCAGAUAUAGUCAUCCACUAUUUUGACUAUGAUUAAAUAAUUCAAAUUAUGUUAGCUAUUCCUUAAUGUGAUGCAUAGCCAUGUUACAUAACCAAUAUCCUAGUUGUAAUCCCUCACUAUCAUUUUUGUGUUAAGAAAUAGCCAUGCAGAGAAUAAAGUAUUCAUCUUGUAUUAUAAGCAACAACUUACAUAUAAGGUUCGUAUGAGUUGAUGGAUUGGUUGCAAUUUUGAAAGCCCUAUAACUUGAGGUGGGCAUUCACCCUAAAGGGAACUAUUGGAUAACACAUUGAUUUUCUUGUUCACAGUGCAAGUUCCAUUAGGGGAUAUUUUGCGUUGUCCCACUUGAAAUUCUCAAAUUGCACUUUAAUUUUCUUGAUUUACUUUGCAAAUUCCAUAUAGAUAAAUUUUUAGUUGUCCCAUCAUAAAUAGGGUUGUCAAAGUGUAAUUUGACUUUCUUUGUUCACAGUAAGAAAUUUUGAGUUGCCCUUAUUUGGACAUUUGAUGAAUUAUUUGUAUAUAUUUU